rfam:Triticum aestivum genome assembly, contig: Triticum_aestivum_CS42_TGACv1_scaffold_223204_3B
UUAGUACUCCCUUCAUCCGAAAAUACUUGUCAUCAAACUAGAUAAAAGGGGAUGUAUCUAGAGGUAUUUUAGUUCUAAAUACAUCUCUUUUUAUCAAUUUUGAUGACAAGUAUUUUUAAACGAAGGGAGUACAAA